rnacentral:rRNA from 1 species
CGGCGGACGGGUGAGUAACACGUGGAUAACCUACCUAUAAGACUGGGAUAACUUCGGGAAACCGGAGCUAAUACCGGAUAACAUGUUGAACCGCAUGGUUCAACAGUGAAAGACGGUCUUGCUGUCACUUAUAGAUGGAUCCGCGCCGCAUUAGCUAGUUGGUAAGGUAACGGCUUACCAAGGCAACGAUACGUAGCCGACCUGAGAGGGUGAUCGGCCACACUGGAACUGAGACACGGUCCAG